ACCGUUGGGAACCAAACCACAGACCUGCACCUUCCCAGUGCUUUAAUUCAGACCCAGCCUUCAUCCAGAAGUGUAUCAACUUCUGCUACCGCAUUGUGGCUAUAAGGUACCCGCUGCUUUAUGGGUUCUGAACCUUUUGGUAAGGCACAGCUUUUGUUUAGUUGUUAUUUUAAACCAGAAGCCACUAGAGCAAGCAUUUUGGGCCCCUGAGCAGGGCUGUAUGGUGGAAGUUAACUAUGUUCAGUUCUGCACAGACAUCAUAAUUCGUUAGGUAAGAUCAUUUGGUUGUUGAGGACAAUUUAUGAACCCAUAAUAGGAACAUUACUAUCUCUCAGUAUUCACUGUGCUUUUGGUAAACUGAAACCUCUUUGUUCAGGUGGUCCAGGAGAUUAAAGGACUGUAGUUAUUCCUCAGACUUUCUGCUUCGAGGCCAUUUCAAACAGAAUGCUUGCGUGCUGGGGUCUGAGAUAGUAACAGCGCAUGCAGAUGGGUAGAAAGCCACCUACUGGUGACAGAAAUAUGUAUCAGACAAAAACAUAUGCAGAAAAAUUCCAGUCAGUUUGUAUUUUAGGGCAUUCCUCCUGCAAACCCAGGCUAGACAGCACAAUAACAGUCCUGAAGUCACCUGUGAAAGGUUUGAAUUUGUGUCAGUAAAUUGUACGUUCCUCACAUGCAAUAUCAAAUUGCUUUACCAGCUUUUACUUAGGUCUAAUGAAAGCUAAUCGUCCUUACCCCAUCUCAGGCACUCCUAAACAACGUUCCAAGGAGUUUGCCAGACAUGCCAAGUGCUGCCCUGCUGUCACAGAAGUCCUGAUGCAGAAGGAUCUUUCUGAUCAUCAUUCUUUUGAUGGGAUCACGUGGGCAAUUCGGAGAGAACCAGAGCACCUGGUGAGCUUUCUCCAGACACGACAGUAGCUGAAACAGCAGUUUAGGAAUUGAUUUAGCUGAUGCAGUGUCUUUGCGUGGUUUAUAAAUGCAAUGUACCUGAUCAGCCUUCAUCCGUCUCCUGCAAGACUCAUUCCCUUGGGACUGACACCAGGACAGGAAUGACCCAAACUCCUUCCACUAUUUUGCCACAGUCAAAUGACCACAAUAAGCUCUUUGGGCACUUGUUACCAAAUCCCCUGACAGUGUUAACACUCACGACACCAAAGGCUACACAUCUACCAGUGAUGUCCCUUACAUGCUAUGCUGUAAAUGCUGAUGCUCGAACUUCCGCCCAGAGAGCAAGAACCAAGCUCAGUGAUCUCAAGACAGGGAGAAGCACAAAUUAACUCUCACAUUAGAGCUCCGCUACCAACAGAACGUCCCCAUCGACUGAGCUCAGGGGCCGCAGCCUUACGCGCAGCCCCGUGCCCGUUUUAAUGCCUCAUCAGGGCCCACACCCCGCGGACUGCGCCCAGCACCGCAGCACCCUGGUUUGGGGAGGCCCGUUGUCCCCCAGAGAGGCCUGGCAGGCGCACGGCACCUAGCCCAGCUCCGGGGGGCAGGGCACGGAGACGCCCGGAGUGCCCCGGGACCCCUCCUCCAGGCAGCCGAAGGGCGGGCGGGUCGGCCUCGGGGGCAGCCAUUGGCUGCCUCACAGCUUCCACAGUCCAAAGCGAGACACAGGCCUCGGGGCGGGGGCGCUGCCGAGCGGCCCAGGGAGGGGAGCCCCAAAGCCGGGCCCCGGGCCCUGAGGCGGCGGC
rnacentral:lncRNA from 1 species